CAGUCGCCGCGGUAAUACAGAGGGUGCAAGCGUUAAUCGGAAUUACUGGGCGUAAAGCGCGCGUAGGUGGUUUGUUAAGUUGGAUGUGAAAUCUCCGGGCUCAACCUGGGAACUGCAUCCAAAACUGGCAAGCUAGAGUAUGGCAGAGGGUGGUGGAAUUUCCUGUGUAGCGGUGAAAUGCGUAGAUAUAGGAAGGAACACCAGUGGCGAAGGCGACCACCUGGACUGAUACUGACACUGAGGUGCGAAAGCGUGGGGAGCAAACAGGAUUAGAUACCCGGGUAGUCCCUGUCUCUUAUAC
rnacentral:rRNA from 1 species